CGGCCCCGCCUGUGAGGGCCCCGCCAACGGGCGGGAAGCGUUAUUGCGACCUCGGGCUGGGAGGGCCGCUCUCCUCUGUGCCCGGGCUACACGGAGUAAGAGAGGUUUGGAAGCGCCCAGCCUCCCCCGUUACUCCCUCAGCACCAACAUCCGAGUCUCAGUGGACUUCUGAGCAUCUUUCAGUGGGCCAGCACUGAAAACGUAAUGGAGAAUAGACCGUUUGGUUGUCUGUUACCAAGGCCUCAGCAACAGCCCCAUAAAAGAGACUCUAGAUGGAACCACAGUCCUGGGCUGAGCUCCAAAGCAUUGCUUAUAAUCAAAAACUUAUCUGGAGAAAGAAACUCCAAUUAAAAACUGACUCUCACCAUCAAACCGUUAGCAGCAGAAUACAUCCCAUCAUCAUUUAAAGAAGCACAAGAAAUGAAGACGGCUUCUUAGCUUAGGACAGCAGCUUUCCAGGACCUUCCAAUUUUUCAAAUUCAUCUCAGAUAUCCCUGCAAGCAGCAUACAUUGCUUGUGGUCAGCAACACAGACACCAUCGUGGAGAUGGCAUGGGUCGAUGAGCUUUUCCUGCUUUGGUGCCCUUCCUCAGCAUGGCUAACACAGAUGAGGAACACUUAAAAAACGAGAGUGUGUGCAGAACUGCUGACCCUACAAGCAAUACUCCUCUUCACUUGUGAAGACUGCAGCAGUGGACUCUCAUCAUGUUGCUUUUUCAGAUGUCACUUAACCACUGAUAACUAUAGCAAGUGCUGAAAACAAUUCACCUUUAAUAAAUCAUUUCCAGAAUUGUCAGAGUUGGUAAUAUCUUACAUGUCUGUUCUGGGACAAAAAGCAGCAUUAUCAGUAUCAAAAUGAAGUUAACUAAAAGUUUACCAAUUCAAGAGCUCUGCAUCUUUAAAAUUCAAGAAUUAAAUGAUCUUUUGUCAAAGAGGGAAAUUAAUGAAUAACUCUAGAGAAUUUUAGAGAAGAUGUAGAUAUUAUCUAGUCUGAUAACAUGCAACUUUUAGAGAUAUGAGAAGAAUGUGGAUGGGAAGGUGACUCCAAAUACACUGCAUAACUGAUUAGUCUGGAUCAGAGAGAACUAUUUGGUUACAUUGAACUGCCAUAAGCUCAUUUCACUAUCCUGUUACUGCUGUCUAGAAAUCCAUGGAAAUUCAGUGACAUUGAAGUCCCCACUCCAAGGCACGCCGCAGGAUAUUGGUGCCUUGCUCACGCUCCAGUACCUGGAGGAAGAUUUCUGACUAUGCUCAUUCUGAAAAAACAGAAAAAAACACAUGGUAUUUCUCAGAAUGAGUGCAGAAAAACUUGGGAGCUGGCAUCCAGUUAUCGUAGAGGCCUAAAAACAGAAAAAAGCAGAUAAGAACUUUGACAUUACUUUUUUUUUUUUUGCAAUUUUCACUAAAACCAAGCUUGCCCUGCAGAGUAGCAUUUAGCACAAAUUGUAAAAGCAUAGAGACCAAGGCAGUAUUAUAAGUAAAUCUAAAUAACAAAAAGAGCAGCACAAACCUGCCCGAUGUCAUUCAAAAAGUUUGAAUAGGAACAGGAAACUCCCUUCUUUGUAAAGUGAUAACAGAGUGCCAGUGGUGGUGAAUGACACGUGCAGCACCAACAGCUAUGCUCACCCUGUCUCAAUUUAGCUGCUGGUCUUGCUCCAAAGCACACAGUUGGAACAAGGGACAUUUUUAACGUCAAUUGUUGAGCAAAGCAAGCCACUGCAACCUACAGUCAAUCAUUUAGUUGAAUCUCAUCUUUACAGGAGAAGAGGUUGCAUACUAACAGCUAAGUCCUCAGUAUUGCUAGCACAGCAUGUCUGAGCAACACAAAAUCUCCUCCUUCCUGUCUCCUGGUCUAUGUGGAACCAGACCCCAAAACUGAGAAGUGCCCCUGCAGAAAAGUGACCAGGAAGGCAUUCUGCCUUGUAAACAUACACAACACUCAAACAGCAAGUCAAACAAAAGUGCUUGAAAACUCUCUAGUUUAAAAAGGAAUGAAUAAUUCUUAAAGAUUUUGAGAAAAAUCUGGAAAUAAAUUAGUGAGCUAACAUGAAUAAUAAGAUCCAGUGGGUUUGAAGACAUUGGAAUGAAGAACUAAAUACUUUUUAAAUAAAGAGUGAAUUCCACUAACAAAUAUACCUUAACAUUCUGCUCUAUCUCAAUACCUGAAUAUACAUUUGAUUUGUUGAAUUUUGUGAAUGCAUAAGUGCAGUCAUGCUUUACUGCCUGAAUGCAAGAAUUGCUUUGUCUUGAAGGUACAUGAAAAGAUACAUGAACUAAGCAUUUCUAUUAUUUUUAAGUUGACUUGCAACUUCUUGGCCACCGUUUGCAGAUGCAGAUUAAAUUACAUGCAUGUUUUAAUGCCUUAUUGUGCAUGAAAGGUAACUCACUGCACCUUCAACUAAUGAAGGCAGCUGUGGAUGAGAGUAACUAAAACACUGAUCUGAUGAAUAAAGGGAAAACUGAUUUUCCCUUCUUAUAAUGGUGAAUGACAUAGGGACAACCUUCCUGUGGAAAAUAACAAGUACCUUUGGAGCAAGCCCAGGCACUGAUUCCUGACUGUUCUGAAGAGAUUAUGCAUGGAUAUUUGUCAGUCCUAAUGUAAACGGGAAAGACAGAAAAGGCUUCAAAAACAACAGCAGAAAACGAUGGUCUUUUGUACCAAAAUCCAGUUUUAAUUAUUUGCAAAUGCUACAACUCUGUGAAUCAACUAAUCCUAAUCCUCAAAGAAAAGCUUAUUUUCUUAUUGUGGCAAGAGAGGGUGAGGCAAAAUUCCACUGACUUGUACCUAGCUAUGGAGGAUUGAAGCGGAUAAUGCUGCAGAUCGGAGGAGACCGUACCAAACCACAGAGGGCAGCACUUCUGAUACCAUCUCUGGAUGGAAAGAAAACAGAGGAGCACUGGAUCAGUGUAUAUUGAGAAGUCAGAAAGGUAAUUAACUGCAUUGUCAAAAAUGAAUAUGUAGACCACUGGGUAGCUAUUUACACCACACAGGCAUUUCUCCUCUCUAUCUAUUGUUUUCAGUAUGGCUUAAAUAUUCAAUUCCUAGGAACAACCAUAUCUCCCAGACUGAAUACCUGCGAGAGGCUACCAUCAAGCAGCAAACUGGCAGUGGUGUGGAGCCAGGGUCUCCAAUCUACUACCUGCAUGGCUUCUGGGUUUGUUCAGCAGGUCCAGUCCCAGGGACUUGUGGUAUCAGCUUCCUGUGCCAAGUGGGAAACAUCUCUAGAAAAAGCCAUCAGCCUUGUCUCACCACAAAACUGCCAAAAAGUUAUCAAUGAACAAAUCUGAUUUACAAACUGCUGAGAUUAGGAUUUUGGUACACCAUGUGUCAUCUUCAAGACACUGCUAUUUCUAUGUGCAACCAACCAUCCUUGGGACUAGGAAGAGUUCAUCAAUGGAUGACAGCUGGUCCCAACAGGAGAGUAAGAGAGAGAUAACACAUCAGUAAUAGGUUGUUAAAAGACUUUGUUUUAAGACCUUCUGUGGUGAACAGAUGUCUCCUGCAGCUGAGUGACUAAGCAGUUGAACCAUGAUAUGGGCUACGCUAGGAUGUGGUUUGCAAAAUAUCUCCCACAGUUCUGUCUCAUUUGAUUCAAGAUAUGAUCAGAAGAAAAGCAGACCUAAAAUCUUCCAAGUGUUUGGCCAAGACUAAUUUCACAAGUAUUCUGAAGUUGUGAUUUUCUCUUACCCUCCUAUGGCAGCUCUUUUACUUGCUUUAACCAAUGUGUAUUGGUGCUGGAGGUCCCACCUGGGAAAGUCUUAUUCAUAGUAGUUAGAGGGAGAAGAUAAAAGAAAAAAGAAAAAGGCCUGAGGUAACCACCAAGUGGGUUUGGACCCCCAUCUGCUUCUAUCUCUUGUAAAACUGCCAUUAGGUUCCUAUGCAACUGGGAUGCUUCGGAGCACAUUACUGCAUAACUUAGUUUUGCAUCUAAAAGCCAAGAUAACACGGACCCUGUUGGGGUGCUACUUUAGUUUCCUAUAUCUACAAAUCAAUGCCAUAAUAUGCAUUUUUUCACUGAGCACAAGAGGAUUCCAAUGCAAGUUAAUUUUAUGCUGCAUUUAUAACACAUCAUGGCAAGAGAGUCCCAGCUCCUGAGUCUGCCACGAAGCAUGCUCUCCAUGCCUAUUUUUUACUAUUUCUGCUGGUCUUGGCUGCAUGAGAGGUGUCAAGCUGCCUGCUGCCUGCAGAUGCAUGAUCCAGGACUAGCAAACACCUACAGCAGCACUUACGCUCACAGACUCAUGUCACUAUGGCACAGUCAAGCAGCUUGGACCAUUUCCGAAGUGCUUGCUGAUCUUCCUGGUUAUCUUCUAGCUUUCUCAACUAACAUAAAUUGGCAUGACUUCUCUUUUCCUGCUCAUUUGUGCCAGUUGAGAAUCUGUCCCAGAGCAUUUAUAAAACUGUUGUGAAAGACAAUGCUUGACAGUUCUUCUGAACUAUAAAUAGAGUUGGCUUUGCCUCUCCCCUGAGAGACAGAUAGUAUUACCACCAAUAACAAAAAACAUUCAGCUGUCAUGAGACAGGCUUAGAAAUUACCAGUUUGCCAUGCAAACAUACAUUCACACACAUGCAUGCAAGUAGAGAUUUUUAUGUGCUUUUGGGUCAUGUGUCCAGUUCUUUGUCUAUAGGAACAAAGACUACAACUUUUUUUUUUUUUUUUUUUUUUAAGUAAAAAGAUUUUUUCAGAAGUGAAAGGAUACUAUCAGUUGAGAACUCUGUAAAUCACCAAACCUCAUGCAACUUGCCAUAAUAUUUUGUGAACUAGCAACGCUAUUUCCUAGCUACUUCUUAUUUUAGUGAUUUGCUCAAAAAGAAAAUCUAAUCGUAGUUGAAUGCUAGACUCUGACUAAGCUUUCUGUUAUAAUCUGUGAGCUGCAGGCUAUGUGAUGACUAUGCUUUGAUUCUUUGCUAUCUGAAAGUCAAACUGUGUUUUCGACAUUUUUUCAAGUUCACUGGAAGAAGUUUAGUGCAUACACUACUGCUGAUUCAAACUCAACUAUGGGCAAAAUAGCUGAAAAAUCUAUAUUAAACCUCCAGUUUUACACAUACAGUUAUGAAUUUCCCAUUCAUUCAAGUAUUUUCCAAAACAGGCUUUCACAAAUGACAGUAAACUUGUCUCUGAACUUCAACUGGGAAAUUAAGUGGGACUUUUUUUUUCUUUACUGCCGUCAUGCUCGGAGACAUCACAUAACUGAUUAACACUGCAAGGAAAGUUUGCUGUGUGCCAACAGCAAAAAAUACUUCCUAAUUUCCAAAGAUCUCAGAUUAUAAAAAAAUGGCUCUUGCUUUUAACCUACUUCCAAAAACCUACAGAAUUGUGUAUCAUGGUAUGUGUACACAGCAUUGUGUGACAACUGUGUGUCACAGCUAUGCCCCAUGAAGUACAAGUGUUGGGCGUGUUUUGAGUCAUGAAAACCACAUGUUUCUUCCUGUAGCUCAUCAAUGUGCACUGUAAAUGGUGGCCCUGAAACAUAAAUCCCUGCAGGCUGCAGGAAAGGAUGAAAUACAUUUUACCACUCACUGCAGCACAGGAAUACACAUUCCUGCCACUCCUACUUCUUGGAGAGGCAGGGGGGUUGGUAAAGACACAAGGGAAGAAAUGCCUCUCCCCAAAUGGCAUUGAGCCAUUGUACCACCAGUAGGGACAAGCUAUUCCCAAAAAUGUCUGUGCUAUGUGAUUCUGGCAAAGGGAGAGAUAAUAGUCUCUUUCUGCUCUUCCCUCACUGGCCUGUGUGGCAAGGAAGUGAUGGCACAGCUACAGAAGCACUUAGCUGGGUAAUUCAAGACGCAAGAUUCAAACCUACUCAGGAGACCAGCUGCACUUUCAGGAUAUUCUGCUAUUGAAAACCAAAGAAAUCAGAUUUCAGGCUGCUCUCUGUAGUAACAGAUUAGCUUCCAAAAUAUUCUAAGUGAUCUUGGCUGCAGCUCUCAGGGAGGAAAUAGGAAAUGUUUAUUUUGUAAUCUGGCCUCAUUAUAUCUCCUGUAGAUCCCUUAUUCAUCAAGGAAACUGAAUCCCAAUAAGCGCUGUGUGCAGGGAGAUACUGACAAUGUUCUGGCCCUUUACUCUUUUCACUUCAUUGCAUCUACUCUGAGAAGAGGGGAAAAAGUGAGUCCCAGUGCUGCUGGCGUGCUCUGACCCGUAAGUCCAGUUAAGCCUGUAGGGAUGGGAAAGGAGAAGUUUCCUUCAUCCAUCUUUGGGCAAGCCAAUGUUUCCUAGUUUCACUCACAUCACUUUGAAUAACAAUAUAUUCCCUAUCUGCUAGAGAUUCAGCUUCUAAGACAUUGAAAUAAUUUUUAGAAAUAUACAAAAUACUUUUCUCUAGCUCUGAAAUAGCUCUGAAACUUCCCUGGCUUUCGGGAAAGACUAACUCAGGCUUUGUAUGCAGCAUCAGCCCUACAGCUUUGGUGGUUCUUUCCCUGCCUGCAUCUAUACAGUAACUGCAGGCUGCUGAGGUUGUAGCACUGAACUGUGGGUCACCAGGAUUCCUGCUGAACAAAACUGUAUUUACAGAAAUACAGAAAUGCGCUCAGUCCAGCACAACUAUAGGUGCAUAUAAUCCCUGAUGACCAAUAAAGCCUAGCUUCUCUGGAAAGCUGGCUCUGAACAAGCGUUUAGGAAGCUGGCAGGUUUCCCCAUGUCAUGCUCCUGGCCCAGGUUUUUUUUUUCCAUCCUGCCCUUUUUAUUCUCCUGUUGCCCUUGCAAUGACCUGACGUGCUCCCUUUGUGCUCGGAUGUUAAGCCAAUGUGACCUGCUCGCUCAGCCCCACUGAUUAAGUCCAACAACAACAUUUUUUCAGAGGGUCUGUCCCCACACAUUUCGUUGGGAUUUUAAAUUCUUUAGAUUUCAUUCAGCCCAUGUGCAUCGGAGUGUCACAAGGCGCUGGGCCCAGCUCAGUUAGUCCUGGCCCUGGAAGAGCUCCAGCUUCCCCAGCACCAUGUGUAUGAGUAUUGCAGCAGGAAGGGAUGGUCUGAACAGAGCAGGCUGCCAAAUAAGGAGUCACCAUGGCUCCCUGCUCCUUUUAACAUACAGCUGCCUUGGUAAGGAUCCCUGCAGCCGCUGGCCGUAAUUGCUAUCUGUGCUGAUAGUUAUCACUGUGACACUGAAUGGCAGAGAUGAGCUCUGAAAAAACUGAGGUCUAUCUACCCUUUUGCUGAGUUAGUUCUGCAGUCAAAUGCAAACUACUGAUUCAGCUCUCCCAGGUCCAGGGGAAAGGACUGCAGAAUGAAACAAGGGAAAUUCACAUAUGAUUUUUUUGCUUGCUAUACUGCUAUCCAAACCAUACGAGGCACCUCUGCUCCAUCAAGAGUUUCAGGGCAGUAUCAUGGCUCAGUCCAUACCAUAUGCUGCUGCCUUUUAUUGUAACCAUUUAACCACCUGCAAGUUGCACUUGUUCUAUCAGCUUUUAAUUUGUCUCUCUUUGCUCCUCUCAUCUGCUCCUGUCCAUCCCUAGGAUAAUAGCAAACAGCCUGAUGGAAAAUAAACAGAAGAAAUGUGAGGAGGGACAAUUCUGAGACAAAAGAGGAGAAUGGAGAAGGCAAAUCCAAGGAAAAAUCUGUGGAUGAAGUAGGUGCUGCCCCGAACAUAGGAGCAAGGAGUUUUUAAAAUCAAAUGCAGAAGCAAGCAGGAUUUUAAUGUCAGGAUUCAAGGAUGAGAAAGAAUAGGAAAGCAGCAGCAGCACUCAAAAUGAGUGGAAGGAAGGGGAAUGAGGAAGACAGGAGAAAAAAUAGCAGAGAGUGAUGGAAGACAGGUUGCCUAGGCUUGUUUUCACACAGAUAUGUGGACAGAAAGCCAUGCUACUAGUGAGGUUCUGCUCCCUUAUUUUUAAAAUUGCACACUGUCUCCUAAGCUCUGCAGAUCUUUAUGUAAUAUGUUGAGGAGCCAAAAGCCCAGUAAGAAUUCUUCUGCUCUGCUAGACAUGCACUACACAAUCAACAGGAUAGAAAUCUGCAUCCCCAGAGCAUUUUAUCAACUCAACAUUUUUGUCUUUAGCUUCCAUGACUAGUUGGAACUCAGUAUAUCUGCAAGAAUGGAUUCAUUUGCAACCUGGGAUAAGAUCUUAGAUCCAUGGCCAUCUUCCUGUGUUUUUAGCACCUCUGACAAAAUGAGCUAACUUGUUCUUUAGUUUUGCAAUUAUGUGAAUUCAGCUUAAAAGAGAUCUUUGAAGGAAAUGUAUUUAAUAAAAAGACACGCUUGCUAGCAAGUUUGGGAGGAUCACACUGACAGAAGUAAGUACACAUCUGUAAAACAUUAAAAAAUAUGAAUUUUCAGGAAAGGAUAUUGCCAAGGCAACAAGCCAGUCUAAAUGGGGAAUUCUGGGGGAACUAUGCUAUUGGCACAACCGAGCACCAUCAAACAGGGUUUGAACUUCAUCUUUCAUCCUGUCCAGCUCCUACCAACUACCAACAGGGACUUUAUAGCAGUCUACUGGUACUUAAAGGGGGGCACUACAGUAAAGCUGGGAAAGGAAUCUUUAUGAGGCACUGUAGUGACAGGACAAAGAGUAAUGACUUUAGGCGAAAAGAUGGUAGAUGUAGAUGAGACAUUAGGAAUAAAUUGUUUACUAACGGGAUGGUGAGGCUCUGGAACAUGCUGGCCAGAGAACUGUGAAUGCCCCAUCCCUGGUGGUCAGCACCAGGUUGGAUGGGCUUUGAGCAAUCUGAUACAGAGGCAAGUGUCCUUACCCAUGGCAGCAGGGCUGGAACUAGGUCAUCUUUAAGGUCUCUUUCAACCCAAAUCAUUCCAUGAUUCUAUGAUAACACAAAAUUUGAUUUUUGAAUGGACUGCAUCCUAACAGUGCACUUCUAACAAUUUCUACCUUCAUCUGCUGACAGAAAAGGCAAGUGGUGCUUGCAAGAACAUAUCAGUCCUCAAGGAAUACCUAUAGACAUCAGUUAGAGAGCACAUGUGAGUAUUACAGGUACUUGCUGUUGUAGAGGGCAAACUUCCCACAAUGGCCUUUCCCCAGAAGAGGGGCAAAGGAAAGCCAUUCAUCUGCUACAAAAGUUAGAUGCUCAGCUCAAGAUUAUUUGACACAAGAGAAAUCUUGACAUAACCAAGUGCUGCCUCCUUGAUUUGACCUAAUGAACACACUGUGCUUGGAUUUUGAUAGGGUCCUUCAACAAGGGCCCUUACAGAAAUUAAGCUGUCAUGAGAUGACAGGAAAGCCUCUCUUAGGGAUUAAUAACCAGCUAAAAGGGAGCAAGAGAAAAGCAAAAAUGGUGAGUAAAUCUCUUCAAAUAGCACUUUAGCUCUUUACAAAUGACAAAAGGGCUUCACAAGUUAUUACAAAAGGAGCAGGGAAUGAAACAAGGAAUACAAGUAUCAGAUCCACACCCUGCGUGGGCAUGCAUCUUCUCCCUUCAGUCUCAAAAAGGCAACCUGGAAGAGAUGCAUAAAGUGCAGCAAGAAAAGAACAGCUCCCAUAUACGCAAGAGUUAAACAGACAACAAAUCUUCAGCAUGGGCAAAGAAAAAGGGCUCAGAAAGCAAUGGGACAAAGUCCUAGAAUAGAAAGCCAUCAAAGCAGAGCUGCAGACAAAAAGCUCUGAGGUAAGCAGCCUCUAAGCUGCAGAUGCUGGGAGAAGGAAUACAUGAGAAGUAAUAUUAGUACUGUUUGCUCUUCCUCAUAUGAUCUUCCUGUUGGCACCUGCCGUUGGUCACUGCCAGAACUUGGGUACGCUCCUCCAUGGGCCUUUGCUCCUGCUCAGAGUGCUUGAGCACAAAUCCUGAUCAGUGGAAAACAUCCAAGUGAAAAGAAAGUCACAAUGCUGCCCUCUGAUCCAGAGGGAAGACAUCAUCACAGACAGAAGGCAUCCUUCUCAGAGCCAGUAAUGAAGAGAGCAGUAGUAAGAGUGAGGACAAGAAGGCUCUUCAAAAAGCAUUAUUCUGAAUUCCCGAAACACUGGAUGGAUGAGGAAAGCAGAGACAUGUUUUUAAGUGUUUUUGAGAUGAGCUGUGAGUUAAAUUGGGCAGCUGACAACAGCAAGGAGCAAUAACUGUUCUCCUUGCUGAGUGGGACAGUGUUUGCACAGAUACCUAAGGAGGGCUAUGAAAGCUAUGAUUACUGUAAAGCCCCGUUGCAAAUGUUGAAACUGACACCAGUAACUCACAUCUAAAACUGUGAAGGUUCAGCAAGGAGGGGACUCGGGAUGGCCCAAGCUUAACCCAACAGACUGCUGCUUCUACAGUCAGUACCUCUGAGCAGGCUGUCACAGGAGAUCUCUGCGGGGACAUUAUCAUGUGGAUCAGUGCAGGCAUGGGGAAGAGGCAGUUCAGCCCAAUCCUAAAGGAAAAAAAAUUUCCCAUAGGAAAAGCAUGCAAACCACCCUUCACCCACUGAGAGGGCAGGGUGCAGCACGUCUGUGCAGAUAAAGCUAUUUUGUAAGCAGAUGAGCAAUUGAGGAAGGCAUAAAAUGCUCCACCCUGAACCUACUUCCUGAGUCCUUUGGUCAAAAGUCUUGUAUGUCAUGGAGUAAAAAAAAAAGCAGGGAAAGGGGCAAAAGAGUAAAGAGACUGUCUCUCUGUAAAGGUAUUUUUCUGACAGGAUAUGAUCAGGCAGUGGAUGGCAAAAAGAUGCAGAUAAACUAUUUCUAAGGCCAAGAUUUUGUCAGCUGAGUCAAUACAAACAGGAGGUAAGACUCUCAGAGGAAUAUCCUUUUUCUUUAUUACUUGAAAAUGAUGUUAAUGCCACAGCAUUUGAAGACAUAUAUUCUUAAGCCAAAUGACUGAGAGAUGAACUGAUUGGCUUCUUCUGUCAGAAACAGUAGUAAUUCAGCAGUGAUAGCAGCUCCAGAUAAAACUCCUGCAUAUCAGAACUGUGUCAGGAGAUGGGAAUCUUCUAACUGAGCACUGAGGAGAUUUGUCCCAGUUCAUGUCCUCUCCUUGCACAAGGCACAGAAACAUGCCCAGGGAUCCUCAGGAUUAGCAACAUUUAGUUUGGUAAGAGAGUUAUGCCAGGUGGAGAAGUGUUGUGUUUAUAAACUUCAAAAUAACAUCAAGGCUUGUUAGAGUUUCUGGGCUAUUUAGUGGUAUACCGCUUCACGUAGUCUUUGACCCUCUUUGUGCCUCGAAUACUCAAAGCAAAAGGAACUUUAUAAAGGCUGCAGCAAGCCAAAGAAAGACAUUCUUCAUAUACUUCUUUUUGUCAUGUGAUAUGAUAAGAGAAGAAAUUCAUCUAAUUACAAAAAUAGCCUAAACCUGUCACUUGCUGUUGGUCGCCACUGUUGUAGUUAAAAUAGGCUGUGAACUCUGCAGGACAGCGACUGUCUUGUUUGUUUUUAGAGUGGUCAGUAUGCCAGGGCAUCUAUCUCUGGGGGACUCUCAGUGCUUAAGCCUGAAUUAACCUAGCUACUACACAGUUUCUUAGCUGAAAAAAUAUGUUGGCAUUGAGAAGAAAAGAAGCUAUAGACCUAGCAGUCAAACUUGUAAAAAGAAUUGAGGACAUCAGCAUAACAAUCUUUGAAAAUACAACUCCAAUUAUCAUCUGCCUGCAGAAAUAAGUUUUCUGACCAGCUAUCAAACCUUGUUCCAAGCACUUAAAUUAUAAAAUUGCUGGUUUGUGCAACCUCACAC